rnacentral:rRNA from 1 species
CCUGCGGAAGGAUCAUUACUGAAUUGUCAACAAGAGUUGUUGCUGGUCCCCAAAUGGGGACACGUGCACGCUCUGUUAACACAUCCACUCACACCUGUGCACCCUCUGUAGUUCUAUGGUUGGGGGGGACCCGUCUUCUCCUGCUGUGGUUCUGCAUCUUUACAUACACACUGUAACAAAGUCUCAUGGAAUGCAUGCCGCGUUUAACGCAAUAAAAUACAACUUUCAGCAACGGAUCUCUUGGCUCUCGCAUCGAUGAAGAACGCAGCGAAAUGCGAUAAGUAAUGUGAAUUGCAGAAUUCAGUGAAUCAUCGAAUCUUUGAACGCACCUUGCGCCCUUUGGCAUUCCGAAGGGCAUGCCUGUUUGAGUAUCAUGAACACCUCAACUCUUCAUGGUUUUCCAUGAUGAGCUUGGACUUUGGGGGUCUUGCUGGCCUACGGUCGGCUCCUCUCAAAUGAAUCAGCUUACCAGUGUUUGGUGGGCAUCACAGGUGUGAUAACUAUCUGCGCUUGUGGUUUUCCACCAAGUAACCUUCAACAUUGGAGGUUCGCUGGAGCUCACAGACGUCUCUCCUCAGUGAGGACAGCCCUUUGAAUGUUUGAUCUCAAAUCAGGUAGGACUACCCGCUGAACUUAAGCAUAUCAAUAAGCGGAGGAAAAGAAACUAACAAGGAUUCCCCUAGUAACUGCGAGUGAAGCGGGAAGAGCUCAAAUUUAAAAUCUGGCGUGCCUCUGGUCGUCCGAGUUGUAGUCUGGAGAAGCGUUUUCCGUGCUGGACCGUGUACAAGU